GAUGAACGCUGGCGGCGUGCCUAAUACAUGCCAGUCGAGCGAACAGACGAGGAGCUUGCUCCUCUGACGUUAGCGGCGGACGGGUGAGUAACACGUGGAUAACCUACCUAUAAGACUGGGAUAACUUCGGGAAACCGGAGCUAAUACCGGAUAAUAUAUUGAACCGCAUGGUUCAAUAGUGAAAGACGGUUUUGCUGUCACUUAUAGAUGGAUCCGCGCCGCAUUAGCUAGUUGGUAAGGUAACGGCUUACCAAGGCGACGAUGCGUAGCCGACCUGAGAGGGUGAUCGGCCACACUGGAACUGAGACACGGUCCAGACUCCUACGGGAGGCAGCAGUAGGGAAUCUUCCGCAAUGGGCGAAAGCCUGACGGAGCAACGCCGCGUGAGUGAUGAAGGUCUUCGGAUCGUAAAACUCUGUUAUUAGGGAAGAACAAAUGUGUAAGUAACUAUGCACGUCUUGAGGGUACCUAAUCAGAAAGCCACGGCUAACUACGUG
rnacentral:rRNA from 1 species